rnacentral:rRNA from 1 species
UACGAAGGGGGCUAGCGUUGCUCGGAAUCACUGGGCGUAAAGCGCACGUAGGCGGAUUGUUAAGUCAGGGGUGAAAUCCCAGAGCUCAACUCUGGAACUGCCUUUGAUACUGGGUGUCUUGAGUAUGGAAGAGGUGAGUGGAAUUCCGAGUGUAGAGGUGAAAUUCGUAGAUAUUCGGAGGAACACCAGUGGCGAAGGCGGCUCACUGGUCCAUUACUGACGCUGAGGUGCGAAAGCGUGGGGAGCAAACAGG